rnacentral:lncRNA from 1 species
GCAUAAAGAGCAGGGCAAUUCAGAAAACCUAAAUUACACAGAGUAUUCCUCUGCAUAUAAAUAUUAGUUAUAUUGUCAAGGCUUCUUUGUUUGUUUUGCUUUAAUACUAUUUUGUAUUUAUGUCAGUUAGUGUGUAGUGUUAGCUUUUCAGGCUUUAUUUAACAAAAUAAAUCUUUUGUUUUUGAUAAAAGACAACAGAAGCUUUUACCCCGUUUUCUAUUUCUAAUCUUAUUCAACAGGGCCAUUGCACUCCCAGAAGUUAGAGACUACAUAUGUUUCAUCUGCAGAAAUACAUUUAAAGUGGAAGCCUCCACAGCGUUCAUCCAGUGCUUAUUUUCAUUAUUACCUUAUUAACAUUUUGGAUACUGAAACCAAUGUCUGGGAACAGUUACCAGUUGAAAAAAGCAAGGCUUCAAUAGUUAUAGGAAAUGUAAAACCUUAUCAUCAAUAUCAGAUAUAUUUACAGAACGUAGCAGAGAAGGGAACUCUAAGCUGCCACGAAAAGCCUAUAUUAAUCACAACAGCUGUCAGUCCACCUAUAGCUGUUUUUAUUUACCCUGAGGAUGUACAAGAAGAGAGUGUAAUUCUUCACUGGAAGCUGUUGCAAGAGGAUCAGGGAUCCUACAUUCAGGUGAAACCUAGUGC